rnacentral:rRNA from 1 species
GAUGAACGCUGGCGGCGUGCCUAAUACAUGCAAGUCGAGCGAACGGACGAGAAGCUUGCUUCUCUGAUGUUAGCGGCGGACGGGUGAGUAACACGUGGAUAACCUACCUAUAAGACUGGGAUAACUUCGGGAAACCGGAGCUAAUACCGGAUAAUAUUUUGAACCGCAUGGUUCAAAAGUGAAAGACGGUCUUGCUGUCACUUAUAGAUGGAUCCGCGCUGCAUUAGCUAGUUGGUAAGGUAACGGCUUACCAAGGCAACGAUGCAUAGCCGACCUGAGAGUGUGAUCGGCCACACUAGAACUGAGACACGGUCCAGACUCCUACGGGAGGCAGCAGUAGGGAAUCUUCCGCAAGGGGCGAAAGCCUGACGGAGCAACGCCGCGUGAGUGAUGAAGGUCUUCGGAUCGUAAAACUCUGUUAUUAGGGAAGAACAUAUGUGUAAGUAACUGUGCACAUCUUGACGGUACCUAAUCAGAAAGCCACGGCUAACUACGUG